rnacentral:rRNA from 1 species
AGUGAACGCUGGCGGUAGGCCUAACACAUGCAAGUCGAACGGCAGCACAGUAAGAGCUUGCUCUUACGGGUGGCGAGUGGCGGACGGGUGAGGAAUACAUCGGAAUCUACUUUUUCGUGGGGGAUAACGUAGGGAAACUUACGCUAAUACCGCAUACGACCUACGGGUGAAAGCAGGGGAUCUUCGGACCUUGCGCGAUUAAAUGAGCCGAUGUCGGAUUAGCUAGUUGGCGGGGUAAAGGCCCACCAAGGCGACGAUCCGUAGCUGGUCUGAGAGGAUGAUCAGCCACACUGGAACUGAGACACGGUCCAGACCCCUACGGGAGGCAGCAGUGGGGAAUAUUGGACAAUGGGCGCAAGCCUGAUCCAGCCAUACCGCGUGGGUGAAGAAGGCCUUCGGGUUGUAAAGCCCUUUUGUUGGGAAAGAAAAGCAGCAGGUUAAUACCCCGCUGUUCUGACGGUACCCAAAGAAUAAGCACCGGCUAACUUCGUG